GCGGAAGUAGUUCAGUGGUAGAACAUCACCUUGCCAUGGUGGGGGUCGCGGGUUCGGAUCCCGUCUUCCGCU
rnacentral:tRNA from 1 species